rnacentral:rRNA from 1 species
ACGAACGCUGGCGGCGUGCUUAACACAUGCCAGUCGAACGGGCCCGCUCUCUUUUUUGGGGGUGGGUUGAGUGGCGAACGGGUGAGUAUCACGUGAGUAACCUGCCCCCUGCUCCUGGAUAACUGCUUGAAAGGGCGGCUAAUACGGGGUGUGCCGGCUGGUCCGCAUGGGCCUGGUCGGGAUAGUUUCAUCUUCGGGUGUUUCGGUGGGGGAUGGGCUCGCGGCCUAUCAGCUUGUUGGUGGGGGGAUGGCCCACCAAGGCGGUGACGGGUAGCCGGCCUGAGGGGGUGGGCGGCCACACUGGGACUGAGACACGGCCCAGACUCCUGCGGGAGGCAGCAGUGGGGGGUAUUGCACAAUGGGCGGAAGCCUGAUGCAGCGACGUCGCGUGAGGGAUGGAGGCCUUCGGGUUGUGAACCUCUUUCUCCGGUGGUGAAGGCCCUGUCCGUUGCGGCGGGGUUGACGGUAGCCGGGUAUGAAGCGCCGGCUAACUACGUG